UUUAAGCAGCAUAGCAUACAUUCAUCACCUGGUUCACUCCUGUUACUAAAUCGUGAUACUCUUCCUUCUUCUUCUCUGUUGUCCUUGUUAUUGUUUUCUCUUUUUGCUGCUGCUGUUGUUACUGUGGUUUGAGGAGAAAAAUUCGAUCUCAUAUGCUUUGUUCAUGUUGUGGCUCGCUUCGAUCUACCUCAUUUAUUACCGAAUUCAGUGAUUUCUUCACCGCCGUUAGGGAUCGAGCCUUCGAGUUUGUCCUGGAAUGUUCUUUCGAGUGGAUGUGCCAGCUCCAUGGAGGCUUGCUCGGGCGGCGCGUGUGAGUUUCAUGGUUGAUUGCGGAGGCGCGUUGGUCUCCGAUCUCUCCCAGACGAACGCUUGGACGGCGUUCAGAAUCAAAAUCAUGAAUAACCUAAAUCCUUAACCCCAACCCUAACACAAUUUCCCCAAUUUCACAACACUGAUGUGCGCAUUCUGCGUUUCUCUCUGCUCUGCCGAGUUCUGCUCUACUCGGCCGUGUUGUUCUGCUCCGCUGUGUUCUUCUCCUCGCAUCGAGUUCUGCUUUGCUCCACCAUGUUCUUCUGCUCACGCCGAGAAAUUUCAUGUAACUCAAUUAGAUUACAGUAAGGCCAUCUGUAGAUAAAUGUGAGGCAGAGUUGUUAAGCAAGAAAUAUGAGGAGAAGUACAAACAUUGUAGCGGAAAUAACAUCUAAAUUGAUUGUUGAAGAAGCUAAAUUUCGUGAUAUACAGGUAAUUAGAAAUUUGCAUUAUUAUUUGGCAAAUAGUAAAAGGAAUUUAGGGAAGAAUGAAUUGUUAUUAGCCUUGCUUAAUGGAUGUAAAGGUAAUUAUAAAGGUAAGAAGAAUGAGAUUUUGCAGCGGCAAAGGAGAGAAGAAAAGGAUUUUUCUGUGGUCUGAGGUUCUUCUUGUGAGGAUUUUGCUCCUACUUAAUGGGUCUACUUAAAGAGCUUUUGUUUUUAGUAAUUGACUGUGUGGGAUUGGCUUGGUUUUUUCUAGUUUUGAAAUUUUGCUGAAAAUAAGCUUUCUUCAGCUGAUUUUUGUCCUCCACCCCCGGAAGGUAUGUUAUGUAUACACUCUUGUUUGCAUAUUCUUCCUUGUUCAUCUCCUUUUCUAUUCUCCACUGUUUUGGAGCUAGUUAUUGUCUUUUAGAUCUUGAUGGACUUUGGUUGCUGAGAAUUUUGUGUAUAUAAUCAUAUGGUUACAGGAGAAAAGAGGGACUGCACAGGGAUUCAGUUUAAGCCACCUGGGUGUUGGGUCCACUUCCAUGGUUGAAGGUGGUCAAGUUAGCCAUCUUCACAUGCUUCUUGUUCUGCACUCUUUCUCUUAGUUGUCUUUUUUUGUCUUUACCUUUAUUUCAGUCAAUUCUUUUACUUUCACAAUUAAACUUUAUUAAUACCUACAAUUUUCCAGAUCUUGACUCUCAAUAUCUAUUUACUUUGGUAUUCUUCAACUAAAUGACUUUAUCUAUUACCUACAAUUAAACUUAAUGUCAUUUCCAAAACAGUUUGUGAAAACAAGUUUUUGAAUAAAUAAUAGAUCUAUAAACUAUCUAAACAAAAUUAACUUUAUUUAUUACUUUUCUUUUUGGGGUGUCAAGAAACAAAAUUAACUUUUAAUAACAUCACUUUAGAAAUAGUGAGGAAUUGAUGGGAAUUGGGGAUGGUAUUUGUCGCCAAAAAAGAUAGUGCAAUUCUCAAAGUCUUAGAAGUCAUUUAUUAAAAAGAAAUCUUAACAAAACAUUAUUGUUCUUUCAUAGGCAUGCGUCGGUUUGCUUAGCUUAUGCAAUAGCCGUUAACUAGGGAAGGUCAUUUCGAAAUAGUCUUGGAGAAAAGCAUAUGAUUUUAUAACAUAUGAAUGAUUUUGAUGGACUUUCAUAUGGUUACUUGAGGGCCUUUGGUUACAGGAGAAAUGUGCGUUUUGGAUUUAGAACUUUGGCAUGCAUGUGCUGGUCCCCUUGUUUCUUUACCAGUUGUUGGAAGCUGAGUUGUGUACUUUUCACAAGGUCACAGUGAACAGAAGCAUGCAAAUUGCUGAGGCUCUCCAAAUGCAAAUGGAGGUGCAGAAGAAACUUUAUGAGCAAAUUGAGGUGCAGAGACAUUUGCAGCUUAAAAUUGAAGCACAAGGGAAGUACUUGCAAUCAGUACUACACAAGGCACAAGAAACACUUGCAGGAAUGAUCAACAAUGGCAGCCCGGGAUCUCCUCUGAUUUCGGAACUGACAGAAACAAGAGGAGGGUUCAGUUGGAGCUGUGGGCAGAGGAAACAGAACAGAGGAACCAUGUGUUCACUUGAAAUUUAAAGUUCUUUGACAUCUUCUGAAAGCUCAAUGGAUCAAAGGCCUAAUAGUACUAACACUACUAAUACUGCUUCACUUGAAUUGUUGCCACUCUUCAAAGAAUCUAAGGAACAAGAAGAUGAAUCUAUUAUUAGGAGAAAGAGGAGUUCAAGCUGCUUUGUUGAUCAGCCAUCAAAGAUGAGCAGAUCUGAAUUAUUAUAUAAAGCUGUGUUCUUCCAAGGAUGCCAGCUUCUCGUCAUCAUGGAAAAGGGUUUGCUUGCAACUUUCAAGCACCACACUCAGCUUCCCUCUCUGCUAAAGGACAAUGUUUAACUUUUUAACAAGGAAAGAUGUGAGAAAGAUUCUCAAGCGUAAAGUCAGUGAUGCUGGUGAAAAAGUAGAUUCAGCUCCCUCUAAAGAAACAGAUCAUGCUCAACAGCUCAAGUAUGCUUCACACUUCAAAGGGAUAACAUCAAUGCAUCAAUGAUAGGAUGCAGUCCUGGUGCUCAGCAGUGAGCUGGAUUCGUUUGUAAGGCGACGAAGUUUAUUUGAUUCUGCUUUGUACUUUUAGAAUCUCUCUUUUUUAUUUUGAAAAACCUUCAAUAUGAGGUAUGUAGAUGUUUAAUUUGCAGCUUGCCUAUAGAGGCGAUAAUGUAUCUUUGAGAGAGAUAGGAAAUACUGUUGUCAAACUAAUUUUAAAUUUUU